UACAGAGGUCCCAAGCGUUGUUCGGAUUCACUGGGCGUAAAGGGUGCGUAGGUGGUGAGGUAAGUCGGAUGUGAAAGCUCGGAGCUCAACUCCGAAAUGGCAUUGGAAACUACCUUGCUCGAGGGUUGGAGGGGGGACUGGAAUUCCCGGUGUAGCGGUGAAAUGUGUAGAGAUCGGGAGGAACACCGGUGGCGAAGGCGGGUCUCUGGGCAAUUCCUGACGCUGAGGCGCGAAAGCGUGGGGAGCAAACGGG
rnacentral:rRNA from 1 species